AAAAUGAGAAAAAUUAAAAUGAACUACCGGUAUUUAUCUACCAGAAGUCGUAUAAAGGUUAUUUUUGUAUUUUUAGGGGGCCUAAAGAGAUAUUGAGGGGGCCUAAAAAGCAACCCUCUUUUUAUUUAAAUGGGGGGUGAGUAUUAGAUUUAAUUUUUCGUUAAAGGCCCAUAACAUUUGGAGGCCCGGCCUGAUUGAACACCUUUCACACCCUCA
rnacentral:lncRNA from 1 species